rnacentral:rRNA from 1 species
UACGUAGGGUGCGAGCGUUGUCCGGAAUUAUUGGGUGUAAAGGGCUCGUAGGCGGUUUGUCGCGUCGGGAGUGAAAACUCAGGGCUUAACCCUGAGCCUGCUUCCGAUACGGGCAGACUAGAGGUAUGCAGGGGAGAACGGAAUUCCUGGUGUAGCGGUGAAAUGCGCAGAUAUCAGGAAGAACACCCGUGGCGAAGGCGGCUCUCUGGGACGGUACUGACGCUCAUGCACGAAAGCGUGGGGAGCAAACAGG